rnacentral:rRNA from 1 species
GACGAACGCUGGCGGCGUGCUUAACACAUGCAAGUCGAACGGAAAGGCCCUGCGUUUGUGGGGUGCUCGAGUGGCGAACGGGUGAGUAACACGUGAGUAACCUGCCCUUGACUUUGGGAUAACUUCAGGAAACUGGGGCUAAUACCGGAUAGGAGCUCCUGUUGCAUGGUGGGGGUUGGAAAGUUUCGGCGGUUGGGGAUGGACUCGCGGCUUAUCAGCUUGUUGGUGGGGUAGUGGCUUACCAAGGCUUUGACGGGUAGCCGGCCUGAGAGGGUGACCGGGCACAUUGGGACUGAGAGACGGCGCAGACGCCUACGGGAGGCAGCAGUGGGGAGUAUGGCACAAUGGGCGGACGCGUGAUGCAGCGGCGCCGCGUGCGGGAUGCCGGCCUUCGGGUUGUAAACCGCUUUCGCCUGUGACGAAGCGUGAGUGACGGUAAUGGGUAAGGAAGCACCGGCUAACUACGUG